rnacentral:lncRNA from 1 species
AUGAUUUCUGAGGAGAACAGAAAGUUUAUUUUGUGCACUUUGAAAAUUUAAGAACUCAGUUAUAAUGGUUGAGAAGCCACUUUAAGUGAAAGACAUUUCUUUCCUCUUUUCAAGAUAAAGGCUCAAGCCCUAAGAAUCUGCCAAAAUAAACUAUUUCACAUAACAAUUUAUUCAGAAAAGAAGCACAUGUGAAAAUUUCUUAAUUGUUCACAAAGCUCUCCUACUUUCAUAUGUAAAGGAAGUAUGAAAAUGUAAUAAUAGUAAGUUGGAGCCUAAUAAAUUGUGAUUGUUGAGAGAAAAACAUAAAAACAGGCUUACUCAAGCAUUUAUACCUGCAGUCUCUUCUCAAUUUCUUUACUUCAAGUAACAGCUUAGAUCUCUGAACUAUUAGUACUGCACUCUCCACCUCCUACCUCUGAGAUGCCAUGCAAACCAUAGAGAGGUAGCAGGUGGCCCCAGUUUGUGCCUCUAGCCACAAGCCAGGAGGCUGUGAUAGCCUGCUGCUGACUCCUCCUGGGCUCUGAACACCUUGAGUGAAACACCUGAUUUAGGCAGGAGCAGGAUACCUGGAUUGAGGACCUCAAUGAGAUCCUCUUAUUGCAUAUUGUACUUGAAUGGACUCUCAUUGCCAAAGUUUUGAUUAAGUAAAUGUCGUAACUGGAAAUUAAAUUAU